GGGGAAUUUUCCGCAAUGGGCGAAAGCCUGACGGAGCAAUACCGCGUGAGGGAGGAAGGCUCUUGGGUUGUAAACCUCUUUUCUCAGGGAAUAAGAANCUGAAGGUACCUGAGGAAUCAGCAUCGGCUAACUCCGUGCCAGCAGCCGCGGUAAUANCGGAGGAUGCAAGCGUUAUCCGGAAUGAUUGGGCGUAAAGCGUCCGCAGGUGGUUUAUCAAGUCUGCUGUCAAAGAGUUUGGCUCAACCAAAUAAAGGCAGUGGAAACUGACAGACUGGAGUGCGGUAAGGGCAGAGGGAAUUCCUGGUGUAGCGGUGAAAUGCGUAGAGAUCAGGAAGAACACCGGUGGCGAAAGCGCUCUGCUGGGCCGUAACUGACACUGAGGGACGAAAGCUAGGGGAGCGAAUGGGAUUAGAUACCCCAGUAGUC
rnacentral:rRNA from 1 species